rnacentral:rRNA from 1 species
UACAGAGGGGGCAAGCGUUGUUCGGAAUUACUGGGCGUAAAGGGCUCGUAGGCGGCCGGCUAAGUCCGACGUGAAAUCCCCAGGCUUAACCUGGGAACUGCGUCGGAUACUGGCGGGCUUGAAUCCGGGAGAGGGAUGCGGAAUUCCAGGUGUAGCGGUGAAAUGCGUAGAUAUCUGGAGGAACACCGGUGGCGAAGGCGGCAUCCUGGACCGGCAUUGACGCUGAAUAGCGAAAGCCAGGGGAGCAAACGGG